AUGAUGGCGUCCCAUGAACCCCACCACCACCUCCUCGGCUUCUCCUCCUCGUCGCCGGUGACUCCUAACCCUGCCGCCAUGGCCAUGGCCUUCGACCACCACGGCGUCUUCGCCCCACUCCACGAGGACAUGCCUCCGCGAUUCGGAGGUGCCGAUGACAGGUCAUGGCUGCCGCAAUCGUCGACGCUCUCUCUCUACGACACGGUCGGCCAGCAUGAGCUGCAACCUUUCACGGUGGCGCCGCCGUCCAUGAUGCCCAUGCAGCAGCCGCCCUUCCGGUUAAAUAGCUCCAGGUACCUGGGCCCCGCGAGGGAGCUGCUCAGCGAGUUCUGCAACCUCGAAGGUGAUGCCAUGAACGGCGGCGCGAUGAUGCGAGCUCCGAAGCAGGACGGUGAAGUGGAGGCGUCGUCACCGGCAUGUGGCCCAUGGGGCGCCAAUCCGUCUGUGAGCUCCAUGGAUUACAUGGCGCUCGAGAGGAGGAAGGCCAGGCUCCUGUCCAUGAUUGAGGAGGUGGACAGGUGCUACUGGCGAUACCGUGAGAAAAUGCGGGCGACAGAGAUGUCAUUCGAGGCUGUGGCCGGCGUGGGGGCAGCACAAGUGUACACGAAGAUGGCGAUGCGUGCCAUGUCACGCCACUUCCGGUGCCUGAGGGAUGCGCUCGUGGGGCAGAUACGAACUUUGAAGAAGUCAAUGGGGGAGAGCAGGGAUGCCGACGGCAUGUUGGUAGCACCGGGUGCAUCAAAAGGGGACACGCCGAGGCUAAGGGUUGUGGACCAAUGCCUGAGGCGGCAAAGGGCGUUCCAGCAAUAUGGUGGUGGUGCCGCCAUUGAGAGCUGUCCGUGGCGGCCCCAGCGCGGCUUGCCAGAGCGCGCCGUCGCCGUCCUCCGCUCGUGGCUCUUCGAGCACUUCCUCCACCCGUAUCCGAAUGACGUAGACAAGCACAUUCUGGCGCGCCAAUCCGGGUUAUCAAGAAGCCAGGUUUCCAACUGGUUCAUCAAUGCAAGGGUUAGGCUAUGGAAGCCCAUGAUAGAGGAGAUGUACGCGGAAGAAACCAUACAACAUGACGACGGUGGCACUAGCAGUGGCAGAGGCGAACCUGCUCCCACGGAUCAUCACAACAACAACUUGGCAGCAUGCACGACGGUUACGAUAACAGGAGAUCAAAAUUGCCAUCGCCUUAGCGGCAGAAACAACCCUGGUGACUGCUUCAUCCCAUCCUCCCUGGUUGUGGACGGCGGGAAAUUUCUCCAUGGCUACCCAAGUUUGCGCAGUGAUAGCGGCAGCGGCGUGGUGUCGCUUACCUUGGGACUCCAGCAGCAACAGGCGUUUGCUUCACCGGCGAUGAUCAUGCAACAACAAUCGUCGCUCAUGAUUGGAGCUGAGGGGGAAGACAUGGUGCUACCGUACAGGAACCUCAUGGGGUCUGAGCUGCUGCAUGAUUUCGUAGGCUAG
rnacentral:rRNA from 1 species